AUGAAGUCAGCAGCGGAGGAACUUCGAGAGUAACCUGUUCCUAAGUCAUGGGACCUAAGGAAACCCUGAACUCAUUCACAGAUGCUCUCCCUCCCUUGUUCUUUGUCUGCAUUUAUUCAUCGAUGUGUUCAUUCCAUAAGAUUUGUCUGAGCAAGUAUUCUGUGGUGAACUCUGGUAUAAAGACAAAGAGACACGUGAGGGCUCCAAGUCGACGAAGAGAUAGCCCCAGAAUCACGCAGAUGCACGAGGAAGAGGAUCAGAGCUGUGGUGCGGACUCAGGACUCCGGAAGUGCAGGGAGGAGGAACUUGAGUCCCCCUGGAGUCAUCUCGGAUGGCCUUCUGGAGGGGGUGAAAGAGAAUUGCGCAGAAUCCUAGGGCUUGAUUCACCAUGAGGAAGUGUGUCAAAAUUCAGGGACCAGGGGAAGAAACAGCCUCCAGAGCAGCAAGCCGUUGGCGAGCCUGUACUGGGAUCCAGUGCGUCUGCACCCAUUGCCCAGCCUUACCAACUUCAGGGAGCAGGGUGACAGACAGCUCUAAGGGGACCCUGGCACUCAGCUUUGCCCCGACGAGGUGGACGGGUCCUUAGGAAACUGAUGAUUUCUCUCAGUCACCAGAUCACUGUUACAAGGGGGAAAGCAAGGCUCUUGACAUCAGUCUCAUAGAUUGGUGUGAAACGGAAGUGGAGAACUUAAUCGGGCAAUACCUUGGUCAUGCAGCUGAUCAGCAACAGACUCAGAACUUGAACUCAGCUCCCUCCUGGCUGCGGCAUCUGUGUGUCUUCCACCUCGCUGGGUGUCAGGCAGGAAGGGGAGGUGCUGGAAGGUCUACUGGAGUAAAAGGAUGGGUCUCGUGUCCGGAAUGCUCUGGAAUAAUGAGACAGCUGGGGUCAGGAGUUAGCGGCGACUCUGAAGCAGCAAGGACUUUGCACUCACACGGUCUGGCUUUACAAUGGAUUUGCAGAAUUCCUCCCAGCCAGUGGUCCGACUGCCCCUGUGGGCUCUACUUGGGCCGUCCUGCUCCCCUGACCCGGUUCCAAAGGAGAACGCUUUGGAUAGAACAGACCCAAGUGUUGUGUGACUUUGGCAAGUCCCAGAUUCCCUCUGCGGCCUCAACUGCCAAAUGAGCAGAUUUGAUCUUCCGGCUCCCUUCAACCUGGAUUGGCCUUGAGCUGUGCUAAAACAUGAGCUCAGAGUAACCAUGUGAGAUCCAGUCUCUCCUGAUAGAAGGAUCAUACAUCUGUUUCCUGUGACCAUGUCAGGUGCAGAAAGAGAAGUGGCCACCUAGGAAGGAAUAGAGCCCUGACGUGGACCCAGGCUUGUGGCCCCUUCCCGUCCCUGGCCUGCCUGGACAGCGUGCAGAGUGGUUAUACCACCGGCUCUGGAGCUGCACUGCCACAGGUUCAGUCUCCCGACCUUGGGCAAGUGCCUUAACCUCUCUGUGCCACAGUUUCCUCAUCUGAAGUGGGGCUCAUAAUGAGACCUGCCUCAAAGGGGAGUGCUUCCCCGAGAUCUGAGAUCGCAUCACCCUGAGGUCUCCUGCGCUGCAGCAUCUUCCUCGAUGCCCCACGCCCCUCCUUCCUGACCUGUGGCCCGGCCCUCCUGCUUUGCACUUGUUCCCUGUGUCUUUCAACCCUGAGCAUAAACUUGGGAAAGUGGAUUAAAUCACCAAACUUGCCACUGAA